GGCUGCUGGCAUAAGCUAAGAACUAACAAACUCAUAGCUGGAGCCCAGAUCAAUUCAUCUGUAUGUUACUUUUGCUCAAAAUAGGUAUUAAUGUUAUAAGAAUGUAUCUAGUGUUUAGACUCUACGAAAUGCUUUUAAGUUUCUGCAUGCAUUAAUCUCACUUGCAAUGCCUGUAUUCCAUGCUAUAAGAAAUUAUGUAAGUUUUGUUUUAUAACUUUGAAAAUGUUUGCUCUGAACUUGUCAGCCCAUGCAA